CCCUUAGAUGUUCUGGGCCGCACGCGCGCUACACUGAAGGGAUCAGCGUGUUUUCCCUUCCCGAGAGGGACGGGUAACCCGCUGAACCCCCUUCGUGGUAGGGAUCGGAGCUUGCAAUUGUUCUCCGUGAACCAGGAAUUCCCAGUAAGCGCAAGUCAUAAGCUUGCGUUGAUUACGUCCCUGCCCUUUGUACACACCGCCCGUCGCUACUACCGAUUGAACGUUUUAGUGAGGUAUUUGGACUGGGCCUUGGGAGGUUUCGGCCUCCCUUGUUGCUCGGAAAGACUCCCAAACUUGAGCGUUUAGAGGAAGUAACAGUCGUAACA
rnacentral:rRNA from 1 species